GACGAACCGUGCGAACGUUGUUCGGAAUCACUGGGCUUAAAGGGCGCGUAGGCGGGCUGACAAGUCUGGGGUGAAAUCCCCCGGCUCAACCGGGGAACGGGCGCCGAUACGACCGCCCUGGAGGGACGUAGGGGGACCUGGAACUUCCGGUGGAGCGGUGAAAUGCGUUGAGAUCGGAAGGAACGCCCGUGGCGAAAGCGAGGUCCUGGACGUUUUCUGACGCUGAGACGCGAAAGCCAGGGGAGCGAACGGG
rnacentral:rRNA from 1 species